CCUACGGGAGGCAGCAGUGGGGAAUAUUGGACAAUGGGCGAAAGCCUGAUCCAGCCAUGCCGCGUGUGUGAAGAAGGCCUUCGGGUUGUAAAGCACUUUCAGUGGGGAAGAAAGCCUUGGGGCUAAUACCCUCGAGGAAGGACAUCACCCACAGAAGAAGCACCGGCUAACUCCGUGCCAGCAGCCGCGGUAAUACGGAGGGUGCGAGCGUUAAUCGGAAUUACUGGGCGUAAAGCGCGCGUAGGCGGUCUGAUAAGCCGGUUGUGAAAGUCCCGGGCUCAACCUGGGAACGGCAUCCGGAACUGUCAGGCUAGAGUGCAGGAGAGGAAGGUAGAAUUCCCGGUGUAGCGGUGAAAUGCGUAGAGAUCGGGAGGAAUACCAGUGGCGAAGGCGGCCUUCUGGACUGACACUGACGCUGAGGUGCGAAAGCGUGGGUAGCAAACAGGAUUAGAUACCCGGGUAGUC
rnacentral:rRNA from 1 species